AUGUUCUCUGUAGCUCUGAUACUGCUGCUGGCAGCUGGAUCCUGUGUGACCAGUAUUGAUCUCAUCCAGCCAGACUCAAUGGUUGUGCAGCCUGGACAGUCUUUGACCAUCAGCUGUCAGGUCUCUGGUUAUUCUCUGACUGAAAACAGCUAUGCAACAGGUUGGAUCAGACAGUGUGAAGGAAAACCCAUGGACUGGAUCUCCCAUCAGUGGGGUGGAGGUGACUUUUAUCAAAAUAAUGCUCUGAAGAACAAGUUCAGUUACAGCAGAGACACGUCUGCCCUAACAGUGACUCUAAAAGGACAGAGCCUGCAGCCUCAGGACACAGCUGUGUAUUACUGUGUCAGAAGAGUGCAUUACAGCAACAACUCUUUCCACUAUGAAACAAGAGACCAAAGCAUGAGUCACUGCUCUCAUUGUUCUAGUGACUUCAAGUCAAGUAAAAGUUCAUUUAUAGAGCAAAUUUAA